CCUACGGGUGGCAGCAGUGAGGAAUAUUGGUCAAUGGACGCAAGUCUGAACCAGCCAUGCCGCGUGCAGGAAGACGGCUCUAUGAGUUGUAAACUGCUUUUGUACGAGGGUAAACGCAGAUACGCGUAUCUGUCUGAAAGUAUCGUACGAAUAAGGAUCGGCUAACUCCGUGCCAGCAGCCGCGGUAAUACGGAGGAUUCAAGCGUUAUCCGGAUUUAUUGGGUUUAAAGGGUGCGUAGGUGGUCUGAUAAGUUAGAGGUGAAAUCCCGAGGCUCAACUGCGGAAUUGCCUCUGAUACUGGUCGUCUAGAGAGUAGUUGCGGUAGGCGGAAUGUGUGGUGUAGCGGUGAAAUGCUUAGAGAUCAUACAGAACACCGAUUGCGAAGGCAGCUUACCAAGCUACUUCUGACGUUGAGGCACGAAAGCGUGGGGAACAAACAGGAUUAGAUACCCCUGUAGUC
rnacentral:rRNA from 1 species